GACGAACGCUGGCGGCGUGCUUAACACAUGCAAGUCGAACGGAAAGGCCCUGCUUUUGUGGGGUGCUCGAGUGGCGAACGGGUGAGUAACACGUGAGUAACCUGCCCUUGACUUUGGGAUAACUUCAGGAAACUGGGGCUAAUACCGGAUAGGAGCUCCUGCUGCAUGGUGGGGGUUGGAAAGUUUCGGCGGUUGGGGAUGGACUCGCGGCUUAUCAGCUUGUUGGUGGGGUAGUGGCUUACCAAGGCUUUGACGGGUAGCCGGCCUGAGAGGGUGACCGGCCACAUUGGGACUGAGAUACGGCCCAGACUCCUACGGGAGGCAGCAGUGGGGAAUAUUGCACAAUGGGCGGAAGCCUGAUGCAGCAACGCCGCGUGCGGGAUGACGGCGUUCGGGUUGUAAACCGCUUUCGCCUGUGACGAAGCGUGAGUGACGGUAAUGGGUAAAGAAGCACCGGCUAACUACGU
rnacentral:rRNA from 1 species